GAGGUACCAGUAGUAACAGCCUGAUGGGAGUCAGAGGGGAGUCAGAGGUACCAGUAGUAACAGCCUGAUGGGAGUCAGAGGGGAGUCAGAGGUACCAGUAGUAACAGCCUGAUGGGAGUCAGAGGGGAGUCAGAGGUACCAGUAGUAACAGCCUGAUGGGAGUCAGAGGGGAGUCAGAGGUACCAGUAGUAACAGCCUGAUGGGAGUCAGAGGGGAGUCAGAGGUACCAGUAGUAACAGCCUGAUGGGAGUCAGAGGGGAGUCAGAGGUACCAGUAGUAACAGCCUGAUGGGAGUCAGAGG